rnacentral:lncRNA from 1 species
AGAAAAUGAAAACACAGAGGUAACUAAUAGCACCAUAAGCUAGUUCAUUCCUUAACACACAUAAAGGUAUAUUACUGAAUCAUAAUCCCCCUCAUAAUCAUUUCCACUUAUAUCAAAGAUAACCAUAGAAAGACUAGUUUAUUUGCAAAUUGGGUCUGAUCUCAAUAAGCUUUGUUGAUUCCUUAAGUACAACAAGAAUAGCAGCUGACCAUAUAGAUUUUGUAAAAUUUAGUUUGCUGGAACUUUUCAUAAGGAAUCACAUAUUGAGCCUCGGAAGCCAAGCCAAGAACUUGCCAACCAGUUCAUCAUCAGACUUUGCCUGCAAUACCUACAAAUUUGGGUUAACUUUUUUUUUUUAGGUGUCCUCAAAAUUUCCUGAGGUUUUUGAGCCUGCCAGGAAGUGACCCUUCUUACUCCCCUGGUAAGACUUCCAGGAACGCUGUAAGCAAGUCACCAGGCUGUUUUUCUAAAGGAGUUUUAUUGGCUCCAUAAAGUGGACCUUAGUUCCUUAAAACUGUCUGGUCACAGCUAAAGCUCUGUGUAACCCUCUCUAAUGUGACAUCCCAGUCAAAGCCAUGGCAACGUAACCAGCCAGCGUUUCCAAUGCGUCCUCUUCUAAGGAGGACAGAUUCCUCUUGAGCAUCUCAAGUAACUCUGUGGCCAUGUAAAUGACAGUAUUUGCUAAGAGUUCUGGCGGGAUCAGGUGAGGAGAAAAAGAUAAAUGUUUUAUCUUUAUUCACUAGGAUAGAUUGUAUAUAAACUGUUGAAAACUUAAGGGAAAUGAAAAGAAAAAGUUUUUCUUAAAUCUGGAAAAGGCAGAAAAGAACCUACAAUGUUUUAAAGGAAAAGUCAUGAAAAUUGUCGUCAUCCUCAUCAGUUAAUUUAGUCCCUCAUCAGUUAAUUUAAUUCUUAUUGGUCUUCUUGAUCUUCGGGUAGCAGUUAGAUGAAGCCAUCAAGUUUUGUUUUGUUUUGUUUUUUUCAUUAGAGUUCUGUAAUUUCUUACCCAGUUCAGUUGAAUGAUUUGAAAGUUAUUAGCAACCUGUACUUGAUAGCAUCCUUUCCUUGUAUCUCCUUAAAAAUGAAGCACUUUUGUCCAAGCAUCAGAGUAAACCAAUAACUGUCUGUAAAUGACAAAAGACCUGAACAUGUCAUGGGUAAGAUCUGAUUAGAGUUUAUUACAAGGAAAUUUGGUUAGUGCUGUGACAUUACAACAUUCAAAUGUAAUAACUAGAAUUACAGGUGAUAACAUUAUACCAGGAUAUCUGAUUUCUAGGAAUUUCAUAUAAUAUCUGUACUUACCCAUACAAAUAUAACAUUAAAAAAAAAAAAACCUUAGUAUUACUUUUUUAUGUAACAAUGCUUCCCAUGUAAUUUAACAUAUGUAAGAUGCCUCAUUAGCCUGACACCUCUCUUUUUAUAAGGAAAAAGAACAAAUCUUUUAAGUUGUUCUGGGACAGUCCUAAAGUUAUUUCCAGGUCAAAAGAUCAGAAUUUGACUUGGGGGGGGGGGUUUGUCCAAAAUAUCAACAAGUUUUAAAAAUACUUGAUUAGAUAGGAUCACAGAUACAUAUGAACCAAACUUAAUACCCAUUUAACGAAAGUGACAGAAAGCUUUCAAAGGUAAAUGUGAAAAUUUACUUGUUCUGAGCAAAAUGCACCUCUUAAUAUUGAGAAGACUGUGUUUGCUUAAGUAACCAAAGGUAUGAUUAUAAAGGUGAAACAUGGGAGGUUGUUUUGGUAAAACACAAAAUCUUUGCUUUCUAGGCAGACAGCUUAAAAGAUAAACAAAACGUUCAGGAGUUCAGGAGUUCCCGUCGUGGCGUGGUUAAUGAAUCCGACUAGGAACCAUGAGGUGUGGGUUCGGUCCCUGGCCUUGCUCAGUGGGAAUCGAACCCAUGUCCUCACGGAUCCUAGUCGGGUUUGUUAACUACUGAGCCACGAUGGGAACUCCCUGUAUUUUCUCUUGUUUGGAGAUGAUCUAGAAGAGUCAAUGAAUUUCCGUCACUUAGUUUAACUUAGUAUACUCUUAAGGUUUUAAGUUACCCAAAGAUUUUGGGAAACUAUUUGCAUAGACAUAUAAUAAAACAAUUAUUGCUGAGAAGUUCACUUAACAAUUCUUAUCCCAUUUACAUCUACCUAAGUGACUUGCUUCCAAGGAUUCUGUUUGGAUUACCCACAAAAACUUCAGGAGACUCUGGAAAAGGUCAACAAUCAUCUCAAGCUAUUUUGCUUGCUGAUAAAUUUUGUAACAGACAGAACAGGAAUUUACAAGACUUUCAGUCAACCUGUGUAGAAUAAAGGUAUUAUAUACUUGGAGUUCCCAUCAUGGCUUAGUGGAAACGAACCUGACUAGUAUCCAAGAGGAUGUUUCAAUCCCUGGCCUCACUCAGCAGGUUAGGGAUCCAGUGUUGCUGUGAGCUGUGGUGUAGGUUGAACAUGCCGCUCGGAUCUGGUGUGGCGGUGGCUGUGGCCGUGGUAUA